GAUGAACGCUGGCUACAGGCUUAACACAUGCAAGUCGAGGGGUAACGAGAGGAAAGCUUGCUUUCCUUGUCGACGACCGGCGCACGGGUGAGUAACGCGUAUCCAACCUGCCCCCAACUAGGGAAUAACCUUGCGAAAGUAAGACUAAUACCCUAUAAUUUCCUCAGAUGUCAUCUGACGAGGAAUAAAGAUUUAUCGGUUGUGGAUGGGGAUGCGUCUGAUUAGCUUGUUGGCGGGGUAACGGCCCACCAAGGCAACGAUCAGUAGGGGUUCUGAGAGGAAGGUCCCCCACAUUGGGACUGAGACACGGUCCAAACUCCUACGGGAGGCAGCAGUGAGGAAUAUUGGUCAAUGGGCGGAAGCCUGAACCAGCCAAGUAGCGUGCAGGAUGACGGCCCUAUGGGUUGUAAACUGCUUUUAUACAGGAAUAAAGUUAGCCACGUGUGGUUAUUUGUAGGUACUGUAUGAAUAAGGACCGGCUAAUUCCGUGCCAGCAGCCGCAGUAA
rnacentral:rRNA from 1 species